GAUGAGUUGCGAACGGGUGAGUAACGCGUAGUAACCUGCCUCAUAGCGGGGGAUAACUAUUGGAAACGAUAGCUAAUACCGCAUAAGAGUGAUUAACACAUGUUAGUUAUUUAAAAGGAGCAAUUGCUUCACUGUGAGAUGGACCUGCGUUGUAUUAGCUAGUUGGUGAGGUAAAGGCUCACCAAGGCGACGAUACAUAGCCGACCUGAGAGGGUGAUCGGCCACACUGGGACUGAGACACGGCCCAGACUCCUACGGGAGGCAGCAGUAGGGAAUCUUCGGCAAUGGACGGAAGUCUGACCGAGCAACGCCGCGUGAGUGAAGAAGGUUUUCGGAUCGUAAAGCUCUGUUGUUAGAGAAGAACGUUGGUAGGAGUGGAAAAUCUACCAAGUGACGGUAACUAACCAGAAAGGGACGGCUAACUACGUGCCAGCAGCCGCGGUAAUACGUAGGUCCCGAGCGUUGUCCGGAUUUAUUGGGCGUAAAGCGAGCGCAGGCGGUUCUUUAAGUCUGAAGUUAAAGGCAGUGGCUUAACCAUUGUACGCUUUGGAAACUGGAGGACUUGAGUGCAGAAGGGGAGAGUGGAAUUCCAUGUGUAGCGGUGAAAUGCGUAGAUAUAUGGAGGAACACCGGUGGCGAAAGCGGCUCUCUGGUCUGUAACUGACGCUGAGGCUCGAAAGCGUGGGGAGCAAACAGGAUUAGAUACCCUGGUAGUCCACGCCGUAAACGAUGAGUGCUAGGUGUUAGGCCCUUUCCGGGGCUUAGUGCCGCAGCUAACGCAUUAAGCACUCCGCCUGGGGAGUACGACCGCAAGUUG
rnacentral:rRNA from 1 species